rnacentral:tRNA from 1 species
AUAUGAGUAAGCUAAAUUAUCAAGCUAUUAGGUUCAUACCCUAAACAUAGAACAAAUCUCUCAUAUA